rnacentral:rRNA from 1 species
UGCAGUCGAGCGGACAGAUGGGAGCUUGCUCCCUGAUGUUAGCGGCGGACGGGUGAGUAACACGUGGGUAACCUGCCUGUAAGACUGGGAUAACUCCGGGAAACCGGGGCUAAUACCGGAUGGUUGUUUGAACCGCAUGGUUCAGACAUAAAAGGUGGCUUCGGCUACCACUUACAGAUGGACCCGCGGCGCAUUAGCUAGUUGGUGAGGUAACGGCUCACCAAGGCGACGAUGCGUAGCCGACCUGAGAGGGUGAUCGGCCACACUGGGACUGAGACACGGCCCAGACUCCUACGGGAGGCAGCAGUAGGGAAUCUUCCGCAAUGGACGAAAGUCUGACGGAGCAACGCCGCGUGAGUGAUGAAGGUUUUCGGAUCGUAAAGCUCUGUUGUUAGGGAAGAACAAGUGCCGUUCAAAUAGGGCGGCACCUUGACGGUACCUAACCAGAAAGCCACGGCUAACUACGUGCCAGCAGCCGCGGUAAUACGUAGGUGGCAAGCGUUGUCCGGAAUUAUUGGGCGUAAAGGGCUCGCAGGCGGUUUCUUAAGUCUGAUGUGAAAGCCCCCGGCUCAACCGGGGAGGGUCAUUGGAAACUGGGGAACUUGAGUGCAGAAGAGGAGAGUGGAAUUCCACGUGUAGCGGUGAAAUGCGUAGAGAUGUGGAGGAACACCAGUGGCGAAGGCGACUCUCUGGUCUGUAACUGACGCUGAGGAGCGAAAGCGUGGGGAGCGAACAGGAUUAGAUACCCUGGUAGUCCACGCCGUAAACGAUGAGUGCUAAGU